UGCCGGUCUUAAGCCGGAGGAAGUGGGGAUGAUGUCAAGUCAGCAUGGCCUUUAUAUCCUGGGCUACACACACGCUACAAUGGCCAACACAAUAGGUUGCUAAGCCGCGAGGUGGCGCCAAUCCAUAAAGUUGGUCUCAGUUCAGAUUGUAGGCUGCAACCCGCCUGCAUGAAGAUGGAGUUGCUAGUAACCGCAGGUCAGCUAUACUGCGGUGAAUACGUUCCCGGGCUU
rnacentral:rRNA from 1 species